CCACACUAUUGGCUAUGGUCGUCAGGCGUGUUACCUUAACACUGCGUAUCUUGUAGGUCUGUCAGUGGUGGCUCCAAUCUGUUUAGUUUCUGUGUGCAGUUUGACAUUCUUGGGGAUAACAGUUGCAAGCAUUCAUAAAGUGAAUCAGUUUUUGAGUGUACAGUCUUUGGGAAUGGACCAAUACAAAAACUGUUUACUCUAUGUGAAACUGUCUUCUGUAACUGGAGUCUACUGGAUAGUGACCAUUGUGGCAGAGCUAAUUAACAGCGAUGUUCUGUGGAUUAUUUCAAUUUUGUUGAAUGGUCUUCAAGGUGUUGCUAUAUUCGUCUCAUACAUGUGUAACAAAAGAGUUUAUCGACUGUAUCUCUCCAAGUUCUUGUCUCAACAAACUUC
rnacentral:sRNA from 1 species